CGGGGGUAGGGUGCAAUUCCCAACCGGCGGUGAUCGCGCUUUGAGAUGAGUUUCAUUCCAUGGUGCGUAAGUCCGCGACCCAAUCUAAUUAUGGCAACAUAAUGGAUUGGCUGAUCUAGUGUGAAUCUAGAACCGACAGUAAAGUCUGGAUGGGAGAAGGAG
rnacentral:ncRNA from 1 species